rnacentral:lncRNA from 10 species
GAGGCGGCGAGUGGGGGCGCCCGAGGGACCGGGGCGGGGCGGGGAGCGUAAGGGUGGCAAGGCGCCCGAGAGUCAGGGCUGGAGCUGAAGAGUUCAACAAUUUUUAUGAAUUUCUAAUCCAACCUCAUCAUCCUAUGGGAAACAGAAGACCACCAAGAACAGCCAGCUGAGACAGAAUUUCACUGUGUUGCCCAAGCCAAUCUUAAACUCCUGGUCUCAAGCGAUCCUCCUGCCUUGGCCUCCCACUGUGCCUGGCCUAUGGACUCUGAAUUUUUUUAAAAGACUGGAAAAAACUUUUAUAAGAGAAUUGGAAAUUUGGACAGUAUCUUGGCAGUAACCUCCUCCAUAUAUUUCCUUGGCCCUCAGCUUACAUCUAGCAAAAUGACUCUACUGGUUCCAGGCUUCACAUGCAUACAACAUGGUGUUGGAGGAACAGAGAUGUUUUCUCUUCCUGGUGUUUUCCCAGACAUUUCUUAGCUGGCAUUUCAAACAAGGGUCCUGAAAUUCACCCUGGUUGGGUCGUGUUCUCCCCUUCCCAUUCCCCAUCCCCACCCUCAACCGAAAAAUGAUGUAAGCAGGGGAAAUUGAAUGUACCAAUGUUUGUUUUUAAACAAGCCACAGACCCCUCCCCAACUCCCCGACUGAAGCUUGAAGUGGGAUCAGCUUUCCCUAAAGUACUUGAGCUUAUGGUAAAGCAUAUAUGUUAUCCAAGUUAAAGUCUGGACGCUGUUAGUAAUGGGAAGGCAAGUAAUGAAUGUUAGCUAUGGAGCCAACAGACAGUGUCCACUCCAUUGUCUUUAAGGCCCAACUAAAGAUAACCUCUUUACCAAUGUCGGUUUAUUUAUUCAUUUAUUUAUUCAUUGAGAUGGAGUCUCACUCUCUCACCCAAGCUGGAGUGCAGUGGAAUGAUCUCAGCUGACUGCAAUUUCUGCCUCCCAGGUUCAAGCAAUCUCCUGCUUCAGCCUCCCAAGUAGCUGGGAUUACAGGCGCACACCACCAUGCCCGGCUAAUUUUUGUAUUUUUAGUAGAGAUAGGGUUUCACCAUGUUGGCCAAGCUGGUCUCGGACACCUGACCUCAAGUGAUCUGCCUGCCUCGGCCCCCAAAGGUGUGAGCCACUGCACCUGGCUACAAUGUCAGUUUCUAUAAAAACUGCCUUGACUUGUUUUGUUUGCUUGUUUUGUUUGUUUGUGUUUUAAUUUUUAUUAUUUUUUUUUAGAGACAGGGUCUCAAUCUGUUGUCUAGGCUUGAGUGCAGUGGUGCAAUCAUAGCUCACUGAAGUGUUGGACUCCCAGGCUCAAGCAGUCCUCCCACCUCAGCCUCCCAAGUAGCUGAGACUACAGGCAUGCACCACCCUGUCUGGCUAAUUUUUUAUUUUUAGUAGAGAUGAGGUCUCACUAUGUUGCCCAAGGUGGCCUCAAACUCCUGGCCUCAAGUACUCCUGUGGCCUUAGCCUCCCAAAGCUCUGGGAUUGCAGGUAUGAGCCGCCAUGCCUGGCCUACUGUAUAUUUUAUGCAUUUGAUAUAAGUCUUGCCUCCCUAAGUAUAUUACAAGUCCCUUGAAGUUAAAGACAUUAGAUUCCUACUCAGUGCUGAGCUGCAACAGAGAGCACUCAAUGAUGGAUAAAAUAGUUUUAGCAUGCAUUCAGCGAUAUAUAUUUAGAAAGUGGAACUAGGUGGUUGAAAAAAGUGUAUAGAUGGGUGGAAGGGAAUAUUACAGCUCUUAGAAUUGUCCUAAGGUGAGAGUAACAAAUUAAGCAAUGAGUCCCUGGGUUCACUCAAGCAACUUCACUCUCUAAAACAAGAGCCCACAGAAUCCCAUUUCUGCUUUCAGAAUGAGUUUGAGGCCAAUAUUAUUUCCAUUUUUUUUCUUUUUCUUUCUUUCUUUUUUUUUUUUUUUUUUUUGAGACGGAGUUUCACUCUUGUUGCCCAGGCUGUUUUGAUCUCGGCUCACUGCAACCUCUGCCCCUGGGUUCAAGCGAUUCUCCUGUCUCAACCUCCCAAGCUGGGAUUACAAGCAUGCGCUACCACACCUGGCUAAUUUUGUAUUUUUAAUAGAGACGGGGUUUCUCUGUGUUGGUCAGGCUGGUCUCAAACUCCCAACCUCAGGUGAUCUGCCCACCUUGGCCCAGCCUCCAAUAUGAUUUUCUAAUAGCUGUGUUUGAUGAUUAUAUUUAUUCCUCCAUCAGUAGCUUUUUUAGCCUUGAAAAUAUCUAUUUAAGUUUCUUAUUUCCUUUGGAUCUAUCAAAGUGUUUUUCCCCAAGUGGCACCUGGGAAAACAUAUUCUAUUCAUUUAUUUUAUAACUGUUCCCUUGACCUCUUUAUUGCUUCCCUAUUACAACCCAAGAUGCUCUUGUAAACCUGACUUAAUAUUGGCAGUCUUCAUCCCUUGCAAAUGGAAGUGAUGACAGACCCAAUACUUUGUGUAAAAAUAUUUUGCUAUUUCUAUACAAAAUAUUUUAUUAAUGGAAACCACAUGUUAUGUAUUUUACAUAUGUUAUGACUUGAAAUUUAUGUUAUGACUUGAAAUUGGGGAAUCUGAUAUGUCUCUAAUAAUAAAGGCUUCACAGUACAACUGUUGUUUGUAG